UUCCUAUGGACUUUGAUUACUGGGCUAAGAUUGCUAUUUUCCACAGAUAUUUUACAGUACCACCCUUCUGUUCCCUACUUCCCUUAUUUAUGAGACAGCCUUAACAGUUCUCUAUUUAUUACAGCUUUAAGCAUCUAACAUUGUCAUUGUCUCCUGGGUUGCUAUAGCAUAUUAUAUUUUUCAAAAUGUUUUAAUGUGCAUUAUCUAGUUUCAUAAGGAACUCUGGCUUCCCAGGUGGUACAGUGGUAAAGAAUCCACCUGCCAAUGCAGGAGACGCAAGAGACCUGGGUUUGAUCCCUGGGUCAGGAAGAUUCCCUGGAGAAGGAAAUGGCAACCCACUCCAGUAUUCUUGCCUGGAAAAUUCCAUGGACAGAGGAACCUGACGGGCUACAGUCCAUGGGGUUGCAAAGAGUUGGACUGAGCACAAACGCAUGAUCUAAUUUAAUAAUAAGGAUGCUGUUUAGGAGAUUAUGUGUUUCCAUGCCUGCUAAUCCAGGAAUUCAAGGCGGAAGGCAACACUGGCCAGCGCCCAGACCGUCCAGGAAGGAAUAAAGUGGUUGAGGAAAGUGGACAUGCUGGAAGGGCUCUAUGUAAGCCAAAAGACCCAACUAGAGAAUGCAUCCCACGAGAGGAUAUACCAGUCCCCAAACCAUUGAAAUGCACUGAUGAGAGGGACACCAGCAUCACUAAGAAGUUGUGCAGGCUGGGGAUGAUGGAAGGAGAAAUGCUUACAAACUGAGCUUGUUAGCAUCUGCAGAAGUGAUAUAGGCCAGGAGGUGGCGCUUACCUGCCAGAAGCCAGGAGGCCAUAAUUACCUCACUCUUCAAAAGGAAUGGAAUCCCAUACAGCAGAGCAUCCAAGCAGGGGCUGUACUUCAGAUGCAGCUGGUGUGGAACCAGGGGCCCUCUGGCUGUGUCAUGUACUGCACCACCCAGAGGUAAUUUUGGGAGAGGGCCUUCUCAACUGGAAGGCCAGCUCUGAGAAAGCACUCUGAAAGGAUGGAGUGCUGUCCUUCAGCACACAGUGUAUUAAAUCGCAGACCUCUGUGGUGCUGUGUCCUCAAUAGGAAGAAAUCAAGGGUCUGGAAACCAAGAGGUGGAAGCAGGGAUGGGCUUGGUUACCGUCAUUCUGAAGGACCCACUGUGGAGUUUUGUGCUGCUUUUCCCUGCAACUCGGCUCUAAAUAAUUGUAGUUUCUGGUCCCUAAAGAGAACACACUCUUGCCAGGGGCACCAUAAACGUUCCAGUGAUCUAUAUGGUAAAGCUACUGACGGGACACUGGGAAAUUUCUGUGUCCGGGGAGCAGCAGGCAAGAGAGGAGUUGCCGUGCCGGCAGGUCUGAUGGACCCUGGUCAUCAGGAGGAGGAAGGCUGCUUUCACACGAGGGGAGCGAGGAGGAAUGUGUGUGAGACUUGGGUUCAGGUGGGCACCUCCUGAACUCCUUGCCCUGAUUUAACUGUGUGAAUAGACAUGGGCAGCCACCCAGCCUGAGGAGGGUUUGAUUAUCAAGUGUUCAGACCCCUCAGGAGUAAAGGUUUGGGUCACGCCAUCGGGUAAGACACCAGGACCUGCCAAGACGAGAGCUGAGGGCGAAGGGGGUUGUAGAGUGGAUAGUGGAGGGCAGGAAGGGGAGAUGGUGAGAAAAAUGUGGCCUUGGGAUCAGCUCUGUGCUCUCAGAGGACAGUAAUUUACCCAAAUACUUCCUCUUCUCAGUUACCCCUCAAGGAAGGAAAGCCCACAGGUCCAUGGGGAACUGCUCCCUGCACCUGUGAGGAGAAGUAGCUCUAUAUGACACAAGGGUGGCUGGUGGACAGGAGACUUGGUUCCUAGCCCCUCCAGGGAAGUGCUUGCUGCCAAGAACCUCACUGUGCAACUCCAUGGUCUCCCAGUGCUCCAUCAUUAGAUGAACUCUCCUGUCCUGUUCAAACAUGCAGAGAAAAGACACAGAUGAAGUAGUGGAAGAAUUGCUACCUGCUCCUGGGAUCAGGAAGGCCUCAGAUCCUCACACGCUCUGCGACUCCUGAGUUUUUCACUGAAUGCUAUUUUCCAUGUGCUUAUCAAAUGUGAGCGCAUCAGGGUCUUUUCAAAUGAGUCAGCUCUUUGCAUCAGGUGGACAAACUAUUGGAGUUUCAACUUCAACAUCCGUCCUUCCAACGAACACCC
ensembl:lncRNA